rnacentral:rRNA from 1 species
GAUGAACGCUGGCGGCGUGCCUAAUACAUGCAAGUCGAGCGGACGGACGAGAAGCUUGCUUCUCUGAUGUUAGCGGCGGACGGGUGAGUAACACGUGGAUAACCUACCUAUAAGACUGGGAUAACUUCGGGAAACCGGAGCUAAUACCGGAUGAUAUUUUGAACCGCAUGGUUCAAAAGUGAAAGACGGUCUUGCUGUCACUUAUAGAUGGAUCCGCGCUGCAUUAGCUAGUUGGUAAGGUAACGGCUUACCAAGGCAACGAUGCAUAGCCGACCUGAGAGGGUGAUCGGCCACACUGGAACUGAGACACGGUCCAGACUCCUACGGGAGGCAGCAGUAGGGAAUCUUCCGCAAUGGGCGAAAGCCUGACGGAACAACGCCGCGUGAGUGAUGAAGGUCUUCGGAUCGUAAAACUCUGUUAUUAGGGAAGAACAUAUGUGUAAGUAACUGUGCACAUCUUGACGGUACCUAAUCAGAAAGCCACGGCUAACUACGUG